GAUGAAGAACGUAGCAAAAUGCGAUAAGUAAUGUGAAUUGCAGAAUUCAGUGAAUCAUCGAAUCUUUGAACGCACCUUGCGCCUUUUGGUAUUCCGAAAGGCACACCUGUUUGAGCGUCAUGAAUACCUCAAUCUCCAUCUUUUCUUCGGAUUGAUGGGUGACUUGGAUGUUGAGCCCUGCUGGUAUGCUAUAUCAGCUGGCUUUAAACUUAUUAGCCGGCUCUGUACUGGAUCGGUUUGACUCGACGUGAUAAUAUUAUCGUUGAGGAUGCAUAUCUCAUGCAGCCGGAAAGUAUCAAAGCAGCUUCUAGCUUGCCUUUAGUGCACUUUUACAUUUUAGACCUCAGAUCAGGUGGGACUACCCGCUGAACUUAAGCAUAUCAAUAAGCGGAGGA
rnacentral:misc_RNA from 1 species